rnacentral:rRNA from 1 species
GUACUACUCUCAGAGUUUGAUCCUGGCUCAGGAUGAACGCUGGCGGCGUGCUUAACACAUGCAAGUCGAACGGGCGAAUUAUAUCGGAGGUCUUCGGGCCGAAGAGAUAAUAAGCUAGUGGCGGACGGGUGCGUAACGUGUGGGUAAUCUGCCUUUGUCAUAGGAAUAACUGCUUGAAAAAGUAGCUAAUACCAAAUAACAUAUCGUAUAGGCAUCUAUAAGAUAUCAAAGAGAAAUCGGACAAAGAUGAGCCCGCAUCUGAUUAGCUGGUUGGUAGGGUAAAAGCCUACCAAGGCGACGAUCAGUAGCCGGCCUGAGAGGGUGAACGGCCACAUUGGAACUGAGACACGGUCCAA